GACGAACGCUGGCGGCGUGCUUAACACAUGCAAGUCGAACGGAAAGGCCCUGCUUUUGUGGGGUGCUCGAGUGGCGAACGGGUGAGUAACACGUGAGUAACCUGCCCUUGACUUUGGGAUAACUUCAGGAAACUGGGGCUAAUACCGGAUAGGAGCUCCUGCUGCAUGGUGGGGGUUGGAAAGUUUCGGCGGUUGUGGAUGUACUCGCGGCUUAUCCGCUGGAUGGUGUGGUAGUGGCUUACCAAGGCUUUGAAGGGUAGGCGGCCUGAGAGGGUGGACGGCGACAUGGGGACUGAGAGACGGCGCAGACUCCUACGGGAGGCAGCAGUGGGGAAUAUUGCACAAUGGGCGGAAGCCUGAUGCAGCAACGCCGCGUGCGGGAUGACGGCCUUCGGGUUGUAAACCGCUUUCGCCUGUGACGAAGCGUGAGUGACGGUAAUGGGUAAAGAAGCACCGGCUAACUACGUG
rnacentral:rRNA from 1 species